AGGUGGCAGAGGAGAGACCGGAGCUGCUGAACCCUGAGCCCAGGAGACUGAGCCCAGGGGACUUCGCGGCCUUGCUGCACGCGGGGCUGUCCGUGCGCCAAGCACUGCUGCUGAACCUGGCCUCCGCGCUCACGGCCUUCGCCGGUCUCUACGUGGCACUCGCGGUUGGAGUCGGCGAGGAGAGCGAGGCCUGGAUCCUGGCAGUGGCCACCGGCCUGUUCCUCUACGUAGCACUCUGCGACAUGCUCCCGGCGAUGUUGAAAGUACGGGACCCGCGGCCCUGGCUCCUCUUCCUGCUGCACAACGUGGGCCUGCUGGGCGGCUGGACCGUCCUGCUGCUGCUGUCCCUGUACGAGGAUGACAUCACCCUCUGAUACCCUGCCCUAGUGCCCUACCUUUGACUUAAGAUCCCACACCUCACAAACCUACAGCCCAGAAACCAGAAGCCCCUAUAGAGGCCCCAGUCCCAACUCCAGUAAAGACACUCUUGUCCUUGGA
rnacentral:sRNA from 1 species